rnacentral:rRNA from 1 species
GAUGAACGCUGGCGGCGUGCCUAAUACAUGCAAGUCGAGCGAAUGGAUUAAGAGCUUGCUCUUAUGAAGUUAGCGGCGGACGGGUGAGUAACACGUGGGUAACCUGCCCAUAAGACUGGGAUAACUCCGGGAAACCGGGGCUAAUACCGGAUAACAUUUUGAACCGCAUGGUUCGAAAUUGAAAGGCGGCUUAGGCUGUCACUUAUGGAUGGACCCGCGUCGCAUUAGCUAGUUGGUGAGGUAACGGCUCACCAAGGCAACGAUGCGUGGCCGACCGGAGAGGGUGAUCGGCCACACUGGGACUGAGACACGGCCCAGACUCCUACGGGAGGCAGCAGUAGGGAAUCUUCCGCAAUGGACGAAAGUCUGACGGAGCAACGCCGCGUGAGUGAUGAAGGCUUUCGGGUCGUAAAACUCUGUUGUUAGGGAAGAACAAGUGCUAGUUGAAUAAGCUGGCACCUUGACGGUACCUAACCAGAAAGCCACGGCUAACUACGUGCCAGCAGCCGCCGUAA